rnacentral:tRNA from 1 species
GGAGAGGUCGCAUAGUGGUCGAGUGCGGUCGCCUCGAAAGCGAUUGGGCCCGCAAGGGUCCCGAGGGUUCGAAUCCCUCCCUCUCCG